rnacentral:rRNA from 1 species
GACGAACGCUGGCGGCGCGCCUAACACAUGCAAGUCGAACGAGCGAGAGAGAGCUUGCUUUCUUGAGCGAGAGGCGAACGGGUGAGUAACGCGUGAGGAACCUGCCUCAAAGAGGGGGACAACAGUUGGAAACGACUGCUAAUACCGCAUAAGCCCACGGUGCCGCAUGGCACAGAGGGAAAAGGAGCAAUCCGCUUUGAGAUGGCCUCGCGUCCGAUUAGCUAGUUGGUGAGGUAACGGCCCACCAAGGCGACGAUCGGUAGCCGGACUGAGAGGUUGAACGGCCACAUUGGGACUGAGACACGGCCCAGACUCCUACGGGAGGCAGCAGUGGGGAAUAUUGCACAAUGGGGGAAACCCUGAUGCAGCGACGCCGCGUGGAGGAAGAAGGUCUUCGGAUUGUAAACUCCUGUUGUUGGGGAAGAUAAUGACGGUACCCAACAAGGAAGUGACGGCUAACUACGUG